AAUCAGAGCCAGGAGGAGGAGGAGGAGGAGGAGGAGGAUGAUGAAGGGAGCUUGGUGGAGUGACUGCCACCUGCCACUUCAUUCAACUGCAUUUUAAUCUGGGGUGUCUGGAGGAAACUCGUUCCGCAAAUGACUUCACCGGAGGAGUGGCAGAGAUUUGAGAAGCUCUCCUGUGGGGAUGCAGAUGUGCGGUUGCUUUUAUAUCUCCUCCUUAUCCACGUCUCCACCCAACCCUAAUCAAAACCCCCACACAUUUUAAGGCCCGAGACCAUCCGCUCACUCAUAUUGAAUUGCCAUUGCUCCAAUGUUGAGUUUAUGGACCAUCUUUGGGAUUAUUAAUGACACGGCACAGAGUUAUACAUAUGAAUAUGGAGAUCAGCCACAUUGUGCAUGCGCUUUUCUAUAUAAGAGGGUAGAUCGAAAUCUCUUACGUCUCCUUUGACUGAUGGCACCACCCCUCCUGCUCCACACACGUUUCUUAAUAACGUGCCGGCUCUGCUCCCAUUUUAUUUGUAUUUAAAAAAACCUAAAAAAAAGCACUCGUGAAUGAUAAUUCCCCCCAUGCACAUAGACUCAUCCAGCUAAAUCUGUUCAUUCUGUGGCAAAGAUAAAGGGGUCAUCUUCAUGCUACAGGGGAUCGUAUUGGAAGCAUAACAGGUUUAGUUCUGGAGGUCCGUCUUCAAUGUACACAAUUUGCGUUUUUAUUCAGGAAUCUUGAAGGGCACAUUCAUGCUCGUUGGUGCCAUUUCAGGAGCGUGCGGCGCUAAGUGUGUGAUGCCCAGUAGAGAUAUGUAGGAUGAAUUAUUACAGUGGAGGCUUUUAUUUAUUAACUGGCACUCGGAAGUUGGGAGCAGGCCAACUGUUGCUGUCCCAUUCAGGGGCCUAUCAUCAGUAUUGUCGAAGGGCAGAUAAAUACUGUAUGGCUGCAUUCAUGCUUACAGAUAAAAUAUGGUCUCGCCGUCUGAAUCUGAAUUAGCGGAGAAUUAUAGUCCAGCCGCGCAAGGGCUAACAAAGACACCAGGAAGGGGAUGAACACCAUUUUUGCACGUCAAGGUCAGAUUUACCUUGUCACUCAGCUUUUGUAUAUUGUCUUAUUCUAUACUCUUUACAACUGUAGAGCUGGGUCAUCCACCAGCCUAACAUCUCUUUUGUAAAUAAAUAAAUACAGGUAAAUAGAUAUAGAAGACCGUCCAGUACCAUAGAAGUGGAUGGCUAGGGAAAAAUGGCCAGUAAAACUUCGGCAGCCACAGUGUUGUUAGUUGUGUAAUUAAAACCGGGUUAUAUUGCCUACUUUCUCACUCCAUUCAUUCAUUCAACAACAGCAGAAAAUAAUUAUACAUAUAUAUAUAUAUAUAUAAUAAGAGAAAUAAUAUAAGAGAAAGCUAUGUUUCUGAGGAAGAAGAGCAUGCUGAGGAAAUGUCUGGAUUGAGGCCCUAUGUGUAUGAAAUGAUACGCUAUACUGGGGCUGCUACUAAGGAUGGAGAGAUGAUGACUUCUAACAUCCAAUAGGAAUAUUGGAAAAGCUCCUUAGCUAUUGUUAGAUUGUACAUAUGAGCGAGUCGGUGACAUUUCGAGCAACAUAUACACAAGAUUAGAUGAUUAAAGCACUAAAAAUACCUGGGGAUAUUAUUAGCAUUGGCAGAGAUUGGCAAUUUUAGCCUGCACAUGUUAGCAUUUUGUUCAAUACUUGUUUAUAUAUGAGUCAAUUAAUGGAAAAAAAAUAAAAAUCCAAAUGAAUAUAAAUAUCCUAAUAAUAAAUUUAAAUAUUUCCCAAAAGAAUUGACCGUAUGUUGAGGUAAUUUAAAAAAAGAAUUGUGGUUGUGAAAAUUGUUGAGGGUUUUCAACAUAAUACAGAGAGGGGAUGUGCAAAUAGAACCAUUUCCUGUGUUGAUGUAAUUCCCUGCGGGACUCAAGGUCAGAGUUCACCUUUGUUCUGCUUUGACCAUGCAGAUGGGCACUUUGGAGAUCUACGAGUCAUUAUCAUGAGAGGCGCGGCUGUUUUUUCCGUUUUGCAUAAUGUCUGCUGUGUGUGUUCUCUUUGCUAUUCUGUCAUUUAUUUUACCACAACAACCACGACACAACGGUGAGUGACACUGACUGUCCUGUGUCGCUCUGUGUCGCACACCGACUGCCUCACAUCUCAGCGGCUCAGCAUCCGAUUUGUCUGGAACUCUUCGAACUCUCUCCCAGUGGAGAUUAUUAUUUAAGUCAAGCAAAGCAAAGCAAAGCGAAGCCAGGGACGUGUGGUUGUUGUUGUUGUUGUUGUUGUAAAUCCUCCUGUAUCAUCCUGACCUAUGGUGGUAAUGAGUGUCAUCUGCACAUGCUUUUGGAGACCUCUGCAAUAUCAGCUGAUAGUCAUGUUUGUUCAGGGUUGUUAUCCUGGGUUUAGAAACAGCCUGGGGUAAACAAGAGGAAACAGAGCGCCUACACAUAAGGCCUGCCUCUCUUUAUUCUCUCUCCCUCCCUCUCUCUCUCUCUCUCUCUCCCUCUCUCCCUCUCUCUCUCUCUCUGUUUGUUUUACAGUAAAGUGAUGCUGCAUCAUCUGCCAAACAAUUUCUGCGAGAACCGCGCCACUGCAGCACGAACUGCAGCUCGGAGUUUUUGGAGAUAAAUGUGUGCCGUCGCAGCGCUGUGAGCAAAGCGCCUCGCUCAGUGUCUCUGCUGUGUUUUUAUUUGCAAGCGGUGAUUUCAUCUCACAGUCUUCACACCAGUCUCAGAAAUCCAAUAAAGAUGACUGACUACAUUUUAUCACCGCAGGAUUUAUCUUUUGUGGAAGGCUUACAAGCUCAGCCUGGUAAUGUGGAAAAAAAAAAAAGCAGAAAUAUGAAGAAGUGCAAACCUGGUAUGAUGUGCGUUUUGCUCGGAAUUGUGCGGAGCGGCUGGAAACUGUAAUUCAGCAGCGCUUUUACUGCGGAAUAAAACAACCAGACAGCUGAUUUGUUUUACCGCCGACACUGUUUCGUAUGAUUUGUCAUGUAUAGGGCAUCAUUCAUGCACUGCCAGCUUGAGGGGUUGUUACCCAAUGCAAACCAACAGCCUGACAUUGGUUCCUUGGCCUAGUGACUCAGGAAAAAAAGCCUGUUUGACCUUUGACAUUUGUCAUUAUCCACUCGCAACAUCAUAGGGCAGACAAUCAGGGGAUCAAGGCCGGCCAGGAGAAAUCCUGUCCCCAGACAUAAAAAAGGAUGCGCACCCCCUCGUUGCCAGGAAUUCAAUUUCACUCAGCCAACAUCUGCCAGAGAUAAGUGAAACAUAAACAACAUCGCACCCGCACACCCCAGGGCUUUGUCCUGGAGAGAUUCUGUGGUACUGACACAUCUCUUAAUUACAACCAUGACAUUUGUGCCCAGCCUUCUUCUUCUACUUCUGUUCCCCUCUUUUUUUUUUUUUUU